ensembl:lncRNA
AAAGCCUGGGGAACCUGGCUGGAGGCUGUUUACCCUUUAGCCUGACGCUCUGGACUUAACCUCGAGGAAGGGGGGGGGGGCGUGACCAGCAGAAAGGGCCCCUUUAAAUCCAGUCAGUGGGGUUUUACGUAACACAGUGGAGGAAAAAGCGAGAGGGAAGCGCUGAGGUGACAGGACUGUAUCUGUUAGACUGAGGCACACAGGAGCGCCUGAACUAGACCGGGCUGAGGAUUUAUACUGGAGGAAAGGGAAAGCAUCUGUGUAGAUAAAGUUUAUCAAGGUCAUCGUUCCUUCUGUCCCUCACUGCGAACAGUAUAGUGACCUCUGAUAGAAAAGCAAAAGGAGAAAUUGCCAUUUCAAAGGGCCUCUGGGAACUGAGCGGCCUGCGUCAUGGCAGCCAUUGAUCUGGAACGCGGGCUGGAGCACAGCGGCCGGGGCUGGGGGCAAGAGAGGCCAGAGCUAAUGGACAACUUUGACUCGGAGAUGCAGGAGUGGGAGGACCAGCUACAGGACAUCCAGAGGAAAAUCGAAGAGUUGUACAAUGAAGUUCAGGCCCGCAGAGGAACAAACGAUAUCACUGCUGACAACCAGAAAAAUGGCGGCGAGAUUGAGUGUGGCCUGAGACACCAUGGCAGUGGGCUUUUUGCGCCCAGCCAUCACAGCAAGAAUCACCCUGGAGCCAUAACUGUACCACAUCACUAUAGAAAUGGCUGUAAAUAUAACCCCAAUGGGUACAGCAACCCUAUGAGUCAUCAGAAUGGCUACGGAUACUGCCACACCAACGGCGUCUCAGAGAUUGGAGACCUAUUGCAGGAUUAUUUGGGACAGGGGAAACCAAUGAGCCGGAAGAACAAUGGCGCUCGCCACGUGCACUUCAGUGACACAAUCAAGGUGAGCCAGGACGACCCAGCAUACCAGGAUGAGAUCAGAGGAAGAAUUGGAGAUGACAGGCUCGGUCAAGAUCCGUUUCUGAAGAGCUUCGAGGGGACUGAAAACUGGAAAAACAGACUGUCUCAUAUGAAGAGCUCCCCCCACAGAGAGAGUUCUCCCAACAAAGAAAACACAGGUACCAAGCCUCCUCUCGGACAAAGAGAUGCUCCUGCUGUACAGCCACGCUCCCAGCUUGCAGUGACAGCCGGGGAAUCUCCCGCUCUGGACAGGAAAUCCUUCAGUUCAGGCGUCUUGGGAGAUAGGAAGUGCAGCAGCCCUUCUGUGCUCAGGAAGUUUGGGGCCAUGCUGCAGGAAAAUGAGGGCAAAACGCUGACAGAAUCUGGAGUUGUGACCCAUCAGGGACUGGCCCCAGAGCCAAAAUGCCCCACUCCCAUCUGUCAGCGCAGAGCUCUGGGAGCCAGCGUGGCCGCCAGCAAGGCACCUGUGCGGGUGUCUGCCCAGAAAUGCCUAGCAGAUUCCGACGUGAUGACAGCAGAGAUAGCUCCAGGCCAAGAGUGGGUGUUAGGAUCAGACUCAGCCAGACAGAACCACAGGGAUCAAAGAGGAGGCUACAGUGGUUCUAAAGGGUCUCAGCCCAGUCCCCAGCAGUCCCAGAGGCGAUCACAUGUGGUGGGCAGCCCAAAGGUUAGACCAAGGGCGAACAGCGAGGCAGACAGAGAUGGAGGAAGGAAGUCUGCACCACAACAUGUGGAGCCUAAAAUGGACUAUAGGGUGUCAAGUGCUUCCUCUGGAACUCAGAGGAUUCAUAGAGGUGGCUUAUUGGGACAGGAGUCACCUAACUGUGGCCGGGUGAGGGAUGAAGGACUUAUUGAGCUGCUGGACAUGCUGGACAUCCAGCAUGAGUACAACUCCAGUCCCAGAACAGGACACACGGCUUACAGACAAGAGCCACAGCAGGUAAACCCAGCUGAGCUGUCUCCAGUGAAGUCUAAGAGAAGCUUCUCUCGUCCUGCACGGCCAGCAAACCAGCGACCCCCAUCCAGAUGGGCCAGCCACACCCCGACUGCCAGGAUCACUGCCCCGUCAGGCCCAAUGUACCGCCCUCCAAGCCCCCUCACCCGCCCCCCAAGCCCCAUGACCAGAACCCCAAGUCCAGCCCUGAAGCCCCGGCCUCCCGUCUCCUACUCUCUUCAGACUGAGACGGUCAUUAUGUGAUAGUUUCCCACUUCAAUAAAGCUUGAUCCCUUCUCAGGAGGAACCCCUGAGUGGUUGCCAAACACCCUUUUUCUGUAAAUAGUAAGGACUGCUCUGGUUAAGUGCUUCACGAGAGUUGCUCAGAAAUGCUUCAUUUCAUCUCAACGCCUUGUUGAGCAUAAAACCCAUCCACCACAUUCUCCAGUGUUGCCGUGGCUUUUUGCUUCUUCUGUGCCUGACACUCGCCAAUGAAUCAACUCAUUGCUUUGUUGCUGACGCCCCGACAGCCUCAUAAUCCCCUUCCCCCUCUUUUGUAUUGAAUUUCAGGUGUUUUCUGUAUAAAGAGAUUUAGCAUGCAGCCCUAGUCGGAGGGUGCAUGCUCAUGUGUUUAAUCCUCAUGGUUGCCAUCUUGAAUCAAAUUCACCAUGGCUGCCAGUGAGAGUGGAUUAAGUUGCAACUGUGCUCUCAGCAGCAAACUGCUAACUGUCAACAACAGUGUGUUUUACUGUAUCAUAUUGUCAAAGUAAUAUAUUUAAGAUGUUCAAACAACAGCUGUGACAAAUGACUAUAAUAUGCCUUUAAUGUAUUUUUUUUUCUUGAUAAUAAAUAUGACAGUGCUUUGACA